rnacentral:rRNA from 1 species
GACGAACGCUGGCGGCGUGCUUAACACAUGCAAGUCGUACGGUAAGGCCCUUUCGGGGGUACACGAGUGGCGAACGGGUGAGUAACACGUGAGUAACCUGCCCACAACUUUGGGAUAACGCUAGGAAACUGGUGCUAAUACUGGAUAUGUGCUCCUGCUGCAUGGUGGGGGUUGGAAAGCUCCGGCGGUUGUGGAUGGACUCGCGGCCUAUCAGCUUGUUGGUGGGGUAGUGGCCUACCAAGGCGGCGACGGGUAGCCGGCCUGAGAGGGUGACCGGCCACAUUGGGACUGAGAUACGGCCCAGACUCCUACGGGAGGCAGCAGUGGGGAAUAUUGCACAAUGGGCGCAAGCCUGAUGCAGCAACGCCGCGUGCGGGAUGACGGCCUUCGGGUUGUAAACCGCUUUCAGCAGGGACGAAGCCUUUUGUGACGGUACCUGCAGAAGAAGCACCGGCUAACUACGUG